AAUCUCUGUGACUCCAAGGCUCUCUCUCUCUCUCCUUAUUUUCGUGCCAAACAGAAAACUUUCUUCUCAUUUUCGUUUCUUUUCUUCAAUUUUCUGUUUGUAUCUAAAACGUCGAAAAGGAAGGACAAAUAUUAAAAAAAUAUAAAACCCUAAAAAACAGUUGAUCUUCGAUAGCGAUUGGAAUUUGGAAUAGGAAAGAGAGAUGGAUGAUGAAUUGCUAGAAUUGCAGAGACAAUUCGAGUUCGCACAGCAGGCGAAAUCGAGCAUCCGGUUGUCGGAACGAAACGUCGUCGAAUUGGUCCAAAAGCUGCACGAGCUUCGAAUCAUUGAUUUCGAACUCCUCCACACUGUUUCCGGCAAAGAAUACAUCACUCCGGAGCAAUUGAGGCAUGAAAUUGCUGGGGAGGUGAAGAAAUUAGGUCGUGUUUCUUUGAUUGAUCUUGCAGAUACUACUGGGGUGGAUUUAUAUCAUGUUGAGAAGCAAGCUCAGCUUGUAGUUUCAGAGGAUCCAGGGCUUAUGUUAAUCCAAGGAGAAAUAAUAUCCCAAUCUUAUUGGGAUUCUGUAGCUGAAGAAAUCGAUGAGAGGUUGCAGGAAUGCAGUCAAAUUGCUUUGGCUGAGCUAGCUGCACAGUUACAUGUUGGCUCUGAGUUGGUGGCAUCUGUCUUGGAGCCUCGCCUUGGGACUAUGGUGAAAGGUAGGCUUGAAGGUGGGCAAUUGUACACCCCAGCAUACGUAGCUCGCAUCUGUGCCAUGGUUCGUGGUGCAUCUAGAGGUAUUACAGUUCCAACAAAUUUGUCUGUUUUGUGGAGCGCUUUGCAGCAGCUUUUGCAAGAAAUGGAAGGAGCCACAGGUGUAGCAGUCGAAGGUUCAUUCUUCCAAUCCCUUUUUAACAGGCUGGUGAAGGAAGGCGAGGUUCUUGGAACACUUCGUGCAGGAGUUCAUUGGACUCCAACUGUUUUUGCUAUUGCUCAAAAGGAAUGUGUCGAUUCGUUCUUCUCGCAGGAUUCCUUUAUUAGCUAUGAUGCUCUGCAGAAACUUGGUAUCUCCCAGCCCAUCCAGUUCUUGCAGUCCAGAUAUCCUGAAGGCAUACCUCUAGUUGCAGCAUUUGUUCACCCUUCACUGACUGAGAUGUUGGAUGCUGCUAUUGAAGAUGCAAUUGAACGUGGUAGCUGGCUUGAUUCUCUUUCUGUAUUGCCCGCAUCGUUUGGAUCCCAAGAUGCAUAUAAGAUUGUGUCUAUUUGUCCUUCUGUUCAGUCAGCGCUCAAGGCUAAUAAGGCACUCAUCAUGGGGGAUUCCUAUAUAUUUAGCAGCAGCUAUGUGAAGGAUGUCUAUGAUCGUUUGGAGAAAGAGAUGGAAACCUUUAGCCACUCAAGGUCCUCCACUAACAUGCUGGGUGAUGAUUCGCAUCUGGUUAAGGAAGCUAAAGCCAGACAAGAUUUAAGCCCUUUUGAAACUGGUAGUGAGAGUGGCAACAGCAAACGUGGUACUGAGAAAGGAUCUAAGAAGAAAAAGGGCGAAUCCUCUGGGACAAAAACAGUGUCAGCUGAAGGUGAUUCAGAAAAUGAGGAUUACAUCCCCACCAAAUCUAAGAAAAACCAGAAGAAACGCAAGGAUACAUCUUCCUCUCAAGUUUCAGAUUCAAGAAAAGGAGCUAAGAAAGAUUCAAUUAAACCACAAGAGGAAAUUGUGCCUUCAGAAGAAUGGUUAAUGCAAAAGCUCAUGGUCCUGGUUCCUGAUUUUGAAGAACAAGGUGUUGAUGAUCCUCAAACAAUUCUUAAACAUCUGGCAGACUAUUUAAGACCUAUGCUUAUAAAUUAUUGGAAGGACAGGAGAAAGGCAUUGUUUACAGAAAAUGUGGAGAAAAUGAAACGUUUGCUUGAUAAUUUGCAAAGGAAACUUGAUGAGUCUUUCUUAAAUAUGCAGCUUUACGAGAAGGCAUUAGAUUUGUUUGAAGAUGACCAAUCCACUUCUGUUACUUUGCACAGGCACUUACUUAGAACUGUUGCCACUUCGAUCGCUGAUAUGCUUUUCCAAAACCUGGAUGUGCACAACAAAUUAAAAAAUGGAACUCAAUUUGAAGAUUCUCAAAGUUCAGAAGGCAUUUCACUUAGCCCUGGUGAAAGGACAGCUAUGGCGAAGAGCUUUCCAGGAUCUCAGUCAAAAAGGGCUCUUGCAGUGGUUGAAGCUUUGGAAGGGAAGCGGGUGGAGACAUUCAUGGCUGCACUGAGAGACCUGGCUGAGGAGAGUGGUUUACUCUUGAAAAAGCUUGACAAAAAAUUGGAAAGAACUCUUUUGCAUUCAUACCGCAAGGAAUUGACUUCUCAAGUAUCUGCUGAAACUGACCCAGUUUCCCUUCUGCCAAAAGUUGUUUCUCUACUUUAUAUGCAGGUUCACAGUAGAGCUCUUCAGGCCCCUGGAAGGGCAAUCUCUGUUGCUGUAACACGAUUGAAGGAUAAACUAGAUGAUUCAGCGUACAAGAUCUUGACAGAUUUCCAAACUGCAACGGUGACACUUUUAGCACUUAUGUCUGCUGCAACUGGUGAUGAACAAGACUGUACGUCUGAUAGAAUUUUGAGUAAAAAGGAGCUUUUGGGGAGCCAAAUGCCGGCACUAAAAGCUUUGGUUUUAGGCUCCUCACAAUCUUGAGUUAGGAUGGAAUCAAAUCUCAGAAGGCUAAAGAUUGAAAGGUUUUUGCUUCUAUAAAAUCCCUAGCAGACAGCUGAAGACUAACAUCUUUUCUUGAGGCCAGCCAUUCCUUAUUUAUCGUUUCAUCGACAGCAAUCGGCUUGGCAUUUAUUUUCUUCACACUAUCCCUUUUAAGCCAUCUUACUUCUCAAUGGGAGCUACUAAGGAAGAGUUGGAAUAAUGAAAAAGUUAUGCUGCUUUGCUACUUUCUCUCUUUCAUUGUAUGCAAUUUUCUUUGCUCAAAAAGCCUUUUCUCAAGUAACCUGUCAAACAUUUUGUGACACCAAGCAUUACAGAAGUACUAGUCUCUUCUUAACUCUCUACUCCUAGUACUGGAUCUCGGGUUCUGCAAAACUGUCUUUGCACUCUUUCCUUACAAACCUGCCGAGGUGGGAAUCCUUUUGCCAAAGUAUCCUUGAAAUUAUCUUCCACACUGAUGCAUACUUUGAAUGUCUGUAUAAGAUACAUGGGACUGGGUGAGGUUAGACUGCAGAUCAGACUCAAGCUCUAAACAUGCAAACGGGAUAUGGCGGUCACACACAUUUCUCAAGUUUUGCCCAU